rnacentral:snRNA from 1 species
GGAUGUGAGGCUAUCUGGGUGCAACAUCUGUCAUUCCAUUGAUUGCCGGGGUUGACUCAGCUGAUCUGGCUGGCUAGGUGGGUGUCUCCUUCCUCACUGCUCCAUGUGCGUCCCUCCCCAAGCUGUGCACUGGGUCGAAGAGUAUGACCACCCCCAAUAGAGGAGGACCAUUUUCUUGGUACAGGGUAUACGAGUAGCUGCAUUCCCUUGCUAGAACCUCCAAACAAGCUCUCAAGGUCCAAGAAUUGUCCUGAAACCAGUCCCCCAAGAAUAUUGAAAA